AAACGAAACUGAAAUCAGUGUGUACAUGUUGCCUGCUCUGCUGAAAAUGAAACUGUUCUCUCCUGCCUUAUGUUGAAACUGCUACUACAUUGAAGAAGAACUUUGAUAUUGGCACUACUAAUCCUUCCCUAAAAUGACAUUUAAAAAACCAGAACCACUCAAAUGGAGGUAAUAAAUCAGCAACCUAACAGGAGAAGAAAAUGCAGCAAAACAGCAGUCAUUAAAACAAAUUCAUACUUGACACCUGGGGAAAUAAUAGGCCUUAAAUGCAGAAGAGGAUUCUACAGCUGGGGAGCCAUCAGUUUGAAGACCUAUCUCAAUAUAACCUAUCAUACUGUGAUGGCAGAGGACCUUCUGAAAUGGCUUUCCUGGUGUGCAUCUGCUAAGGGAUUAAAGUUUGCCAAAGAAGAACUUUCCACAAUCUCAGAACUGGGAUUGCCCAUCAUGGGGAUGAGGAUAUACAGAGAUUUCCUAGCUGAAACACCUUUGUUAUGAAGUGACUGCCAUUCGGAAGCUUCUGCUAACUUUAAGCUCAAUGAGGUCCAACUUGAAUCUUCUUGGCAUUUCAUUAGUAGUAAUAUUAUUUGGAACAAGUCCACGUGGGUUUAUAAUGGAUCAUUACCAAAAUCUCAAAGGAAGUGAAAGAGAGAAGUAAAAUAAAAUUAAAAAACCCUGGAAAAUCUCUGGAGAUCUUAAUAAACUACGAGAUUCUAAUAAACAAGAAAACAUAUGGAUUCAACUCUCUUUGGAGGAAUGAGCUUUUGUUUAAUUGGAACAAAAAUGGGAUUUGUACUAAGCUUGGAUAUACUGUAAGGGAAUACCAAAUGAAAACACUAAAAAUAAAUUAAAAGCUUUAACGUCG